rnacentral:rRNA from 1 species
CGGUUUAAUUGGACUCAAUGCCGGGCAGCUCACCGGAUAAGACAGCUGGAUGAUAGCCGGGCUGAAGACUCUGCUUGACUAGCUGAGAGGAGGUGCAUGGCCGUCGUCAGUUCGUACUGUGAAGCAUCCUGUUAAGUCAGGCAACGAGCGAGACCCACGCCAACAGUUGCCAGCAUGUCCUCCGGGAUGAUGGGGACACUGUUGGGACCGCUCUGCUAAAGAGGAGGAAGGAAUGGGCAACGGUAGGUCAGCAUGCCCCGAAUUAUCCGGGCUACACGCGGGCUACAAUGGUCAGGACAAUGGGUAUCGACACCGAGAGGUGGAGGCAAUCUCCUAAACCUGUCCUUAGUUCGGAUUGUGGGCUGCAACUCGCCCACAUGAAGCUGGAAUCCGUAGUAAUCGCGUUUCAAAAUAGCGCGGUGAAUAUGUCCCUGCUCCUU